UGGCGGGCGGGUGAGUAAUGUCUGGGAAACUGCCUGAUGGAGGGGGAUAACUACUGGAAACGGUAGCUAAUACCGCAUAACGUCGCAAGACCAAAGAGGGGGACCUUCGGGCCUCUUGCCAUCGGAUGUGCCCAGAUGGGAUUAGCUAGUAGGUGGGGUAACGGCUCACCUAGGCGACGAUCCCUAGCUGGUCUGAGAGGGUGACCAGCCACACUGGAACUGAGACACGGUCCAG
rnacentral:rRNA from 1 species